rnacentral:rRNA from 1 species
GGAUGAAGGUCUGGUGACUGAGUGGCGGACGGGUGAGUAACGCGUGGGUAACCUGCCCUGUACAGGGGGAUAACAGCUGGAAACGGCUGCUAAUACCGCAUAAGCGCACGAGGAGACAUCUCCUAGUGUGAAAAACUCCGGUGGUACAGGAUGGGCCCGCGUCUGAUUAGCUGGUUGGCAGGGUAACGGCCUACCAAGGCAACGAUCAGUAGCCGGUCUGAGAGGAUGAACGGCCACAUUGGAACUGAGACACGGUCCAAACUCCUACGGGAGGCAGCAGUGGGGAAUAUUGCACAAUGGGGGAAACCCUGAUGCAGCAACGCCGCGUGAGUGAAGAAGUAUUUCGGUAUGUAAAGCUCUAUCAGCAGGGAAGAUAAUGACGGUACCUGACUAAGAAGCUCCGGCUAAAUACGUGCCAGCAGCCGCGGUAAUACGUAUGGAGCAAGCGUUAUCCGGAUUUACUGGGUGUAAAGGGUGCGUAGGUGGCAGUGCAAGUCAGAUGUGAAAGGCCGGGGCUCAACCCCGGAGCUGCAUUUGAAACUGCUCGGCUAGAGUACAGGAGAGGCAGGCGGAAUUCCUAGUGUAGCGGUGAAAUGCGUAGAUAUUAGGAGGAACACCAGUGGCGAAGGC